rnacentral:rRNA from 1 species
UACGAAGGGGGCUAGCGUUGCUCGGAAUCACUGGGCGUAAAGGGUGCGUAGGCGGCGCGGUAAGUCGGGUGUGAAAUCUCGGGGCUUAACUCCGAAACUGCAUUCGAUACUGCCGUGCUUGAGGACUGGAGAGGAGACUGGAAUUUACGGUGUAGCGGUGAAAUGCGUAGAUAUCGUAAGGAAGACCAGUGGCGAAGGCAGCUCGCUGGGACGUUACUGACGCUGAGACGCGAAAGCGUGGGGAGCAAACAGG